rnacentral:misc_RNA from 1 species
UGCGGCUGGAUCCCCUCCCCUCUCUGGAUCCCGCGAGCUAGCUUCAGCGUCCACACUUAUCGGUUGCGCAACAUUGACGCCACGGCGGGCCUGUAGCUCAGCUGGUUAGAGCACCGUCUUGAUAAGGCGGGGGUCGAUGGUCCGAAUCCAUCCAGACCCACCAGCCUCGGCUCCACCAACUUGAAGAAGGGCGAAGCGACUGCUUGGUGCACUGCAAGCGAGAUCACACGCAAGGGCGCUGGUGCGAGCGCGAGCGUUUGCGUGUGCUCUUUCGAGCGCGCUUUAUCGGUUGUUCUUUAACAAUUCGGGAAGAAGUAAAGCGAAUCUCGCGAAGGGUGAAGCUUUCGCGAGAGGGUUGGAUUGUAUCGACUGCAUGCGGCCUAGUCCGUCGCAUGCGGGAUCGCAAACGCGCCGUAGCGAUGCGCAGUUCUCAAGUGCGCAGCGUUAUGGGGUCAAGCGACUAAGUGCAUGUGGUGGAUGCCUUGGCGAUCACAGGCGAUGAAGGACGUGGCAGCCUGCGAAAAGCUGCUGGGAGCUGGCAAACCCAGCUUGAUCCGCACAUGUCCCCAAUGUGGAAACCCCGCAUCACUUGUUUAAUUCUGGCCGUCUGCUAGUCCACCCUUUGGGCAGAGUUCCCACCCCGCUGGAUCCUCCCCCGUAUUAUUUUUUCUCGUUUCCUCAUUAUUUUCUUUCUCUUCCUGCUUCAUUUACUACCUCUCUCCAAUUAUCAUCAACCCUAAUUAUCUCUACCCCUCUACAUCCUCCUACUUCAACUUUAU